UUGAACGCUGGCGGCAUGCUUUACACAUGCAAGUCGAACGGUAACAGGGAGCUUGCUCCGCUGACGAGUGGCGAACGGGUGAGUAAUGCAUCGGAACGUACCCAGUCGUGGGGGAUAACGUAGCGAAAGUUACGCUAAUACCGCAUACGUCCUGAGGGAGAAAGCGGGGGAUCGCAAGACCUCGCGCGUUUGGAGCGGCCGAUAUCUGAUUAGCUAGAUGGUGGGGUAAAGGCUCACCAUGGCGACGAUCAGUAGCUGGUCUGAGAGGAUGAUCAGCCACACUGGAACUGAGACACGGUCCAGACUCCUACGGGAGGCAGCAGUGGGGAAUUUUGGACAAUGGGGGAAACCCUGAUCCAGCCAUUCCGCGUGAGUGAAGAAGGCCUUCGGGUUGUAAAGCUCUUUCGGCAGGAACGAAACGGCGGAUACUAAUAUUAUCCGUUACUGACGGUACCUGAAGAAGAAGCACCGGCUAACUACGU
rnacentral:rRNA from 1 species